AUUUUUUUUUUUUUCUUCCUGGAGAAGCUUUGAAUAUUUUUCUCUGCUUUGCUUCUUCAAUCCAACCACCUCUAGUCACAGUUUAACUUUUUUGUGACUUGUUUUAACUUGAGAUUGGGAGUGAAUAUAUACAUACAUAUACACAAAUAUACAUUUAUAUAAAUAUUUAUAUAUAUAAUUAUUAUUUUCUAAGAGCACAUCUCUCUGGCACUUUUCACUGAUACCUCUGUAUUUUACCUGUUUGGGAUUUUGACAAGCUCCAGACUCUGUGUGUGGCUGGGGAUUUGGACUGCUUUGCAAAUGGGUAUUUCUUCACAAGAACUGUUUCCAGCACUCACUGAGACAGACCUCUCAGUAACUGGAGACCUGACCGGCCUUGCCUACUGAGCUUGGGGGAAAACUGGAUGCAGAUGAGUUGAUUAUAUUCCAUGAAGUCAUAGCUCUCCACCUGCCAGGGUUUAAACUACUUCUGUAGCAUCACUUCACCUGUGGACUCUUUCAAAUUUUGCUUUGUUGGGGGGAAAAAAAAACUGGGGUAAGAAGAGGUUGUUUUUAACAAGUUAUCAUCCUCUCCCUCCCUUAUAAGUUGCUGCAAAGGAUCAGGCUGUGACUCCAUUGGGUCGCUCCUUCACAUCAAAAUAGGAGA
rnacentral:lncRNA from 1 species